UGUUUUUCCUGGCCAGGAGCCAUUUCCUCUUUUGUUUCUUUUCCAUUAAUCUUCUGGUUCAACAGACUCCUAUCAGAGCUUCAGGAAGAACUUUGGCUGUUCCCAGGCUCCAAGUUCAAGGACUCUUUCACCUAAUGAUUACUAAGAGAAGCCAACUGCCAUGCUGUGAGCUACCCUAAGGAGAGAGUCACAUGGGCAAAAGGAAAGAAAAGCCCUGAUAUUUUUGGUUAAGAGCCAAUGAGGACCCAAGGCCUGCCAACAGCCAUGUGUAUCCAAGUACACUCCUGCAGUCACUUACUAUGUUAGGAAUAUGCAGUCGUAUGGAGUACUACUCCGUCAUCAAGGAGGAUAAACUUGAGGCAUUUUUAGGUAAAUAGAUGCACCUCAAGACCAUAAUUUUAAGUGAAAUAAACCAGACACACAAGUUUAAAUCUAGCAUUGUUUUCCUUGUGUGAGAAACUCAAAGGGUAAAUAAGGAACAAAAUGGAGGAUAGAUAUUGGCAAGUAGGAA
ensembl:lncRNA